UCUACACAGAAAAUCAGGAUGGGCCUAACUGGAAAAUACUAAGCCCAAUCGCAGGGGAGGUGUGCUGGCCAGUGGAUGGUGUAUGCAUUGUGAACAGACCUGGCCCAAACAGUCAAGGUGUGACCAAAUCCCAACGUAAUAAGAGUUUACUGAAGGAAAGAAAGAAGAAAAAGCACUUAUGAAAAAGCGCUUACCACGUACCGCGAUCUUUCUUCUUCCGCUUCACUUCGGACUUCUUCCUCCUCUGCGUGUGGUUGCUGUUGCGAGAAUCAAAGUCAAUGGCGACUGGACACGUCGGAUCCAUAUGUUGAUGCACCGUAUGGUUAUGGCUUCGUACGAUCUUCAGAUCAUCGGCGCGAAGUUGUUGUUUGUUGACGAUGAGUAGUCAUAGUCAUUGAGGGAGAUGAAGCGGAUUCUGGUGUUGAUUGAAUGAAGCGAACUCCGGCGAUCGAAACCAAGUGAUGAACGAUGAUGCUCACAACAGAGCGAAUGGCGACGAGGCUCGCAGUGAAGACGGCGAUCGGAAGCGAUUCAAUUCCGGAAAGGAGGAUUUGGUAAUGACGACUUCUAGACAGGCUUCGCAACAUCAGAGUGAUUGAGAUUCAAAGAAGAUUGAGCCAUGUUUCCACUACAAUGGAUGAUGUAUAAUUGACAUGCUUCCAGGUACCGUUCGAGUACUCAACGGUAAUGUUCCGACCUGUUUCUACUUAUUAGUGACGUGAAGAAUGAAAUGAAAUCGGGUUCAUAUUAAUUAGAUUUCCAAUUGAGUUGGUUUUCUUCCUGUUAGUGUGAAAGUUUACUUUGAAAAUGUUAAUUGGUUUUUGCAGGGUGCAGUUUUGUGUUAGCUGCGCAUUAUUGGAAGCUUUGUGUUGUUCUGUUGCAGCUUUGGUCAAGAUGCAUUACUAUUCUUUGAUUUUUGCAGGUGAAUAUCAUGAUCUGAUUAUUUAUGCAAUGCUCUUUAUUGUAGGAUGAAGAUGAGAUGGAAAUGUAAUUGGACAUGAAAAAAUAUGGAGAACUGGAUGUAAUAAUUUGGUUAGUUGGAAUUGAAUUAUGUAAAAUAUGGAUAAUGAAAAUUGGAUUUAGAAAAAUGGAUAUGGGUUAAACCAAA